UCUACGGGGGGCAGCAGUGGGGAAUAUUGGGCAAUGGGCGCAAGCCUGACCCAGCAACGCCGCGUGAAGGAAGAAGGCUUUCGGGUUGUAAACUUCUUUUAUGAGGGACGAAAGAAAUGACGGUACCUCAUGAAUAAGCCACGGCUAACUACGUGCCAUCAGCCGCGGAAAUACGUAGGAGGCAAGCUUUAUCCGGAUGUACUGGGUGUAAAGGGCGGGUAGGCGGGACUGCAAGUCAGAGGGGAAAAUUAUGGGCUCAACCCAUAACCGGCAUUUGAAACUGUAGUUCUUGAGUGAUGGAGAGGCCGGCGGAAUUCCGUGUGUAGCGGUGAAAUGCGUAGAUAUACGGAGGAACACCAGUGGCGAAGGCGGCCUGCUGGACAUUAACUGACGCUGAGGCGCGAAAGCGUGGGGAGCAAACAGGAUUAGAUACCCGGGUAGUC
rnacentral:rRNA from 1 species